rnacentral:rRNA from 1 species
UACGAAGGGGGCUAGCGUUGUUCGGAUUUACUGGGCGUAAAGCGCACGUAGGCGGAUCGUUAAGUCGGGGGUGAAAUCCUGGAGCUCAACUCCAGAACUGCCUUCGAUACUGGCGAUCUCGAGUCCGGAAGAGGUGAGUGGAACUCCUAGUGUAGAGGUGGAAUUCGUAGAUAUUAGGAAGAACACCAGUGGCGAAGGCGGCUCACUGGUCCGGUACUGACGCUGAGGUGCGAAAGCGCGGGGAGCAAACAGG